rnacentral:misc_RNA from 1 species
AAAAGAGUGGAAUUUAUGCGUGAGAAAGGGAGAACUUAUUUUCGAUAAAACUUUUCCCAAAGGGAGAACUUCUACAUCAAUAGCAUGCCAACUUUUAUAUUCUUUCUUCAUGGAAUCCAAUACAACAAAGAAGAACAGGGUUCUUCUUUCAUCUGUUCAUAAAUAAUCAAUUUUCAAUAGAAACACAAGUAAACAAGUAAUUAAUUGCCUCUGCUUUAAACAUAAAAAUCCAUCUCCCUAUACAUGAUGGAAUACCGUAAACAAAUACUCGUAUACUUUCUCUGCUUUCUAACCAAGCAAAGUAUGGCCAUGCCUUGGAGACCAAAGGGGGUUUUGAUCUUGAAAAGAGGAUGAUGAUUCGGAUCUCAGCUUAUUUCCAUUGCUUUCACUGCUGUAAUCAUGGAAGAAGGGAUUGUUAUUUUCAAAUGUUGUCCAUCGCUUUGAGUUGUUGCUGUGUUUCUCCCUAGAAGCAUUUCUCAUGUUCUCCAUUUCUCCAACAUGGUCCUUGAAUUCUUUCUUCACUACAUCCAAUACGACAUCACCAUACCGAUCACACCAGGACCUCAAACAAAAGAAAAUAGUUGUUAGCAUUAGUUUCUAUAGUCAUAAGUUUCGUAAAGAAAUGGGAGAAAGAAAAAUUCUACGGACUUACUUGGGAAAGAACUUUUUCAGUUCUGCCUUGUCAACUGGGAGCUU